rnacentral:rRNA from 1 species
GACGAACCGUGCGAGCGUUGUUCGGAAUCACUGGGCUUAAAGGGCGCGUAGGCGGCUUACCAAGUCAGGGGUGAAAUUUUGCGGCUUAACCGUAACAGUGCCUUUGAUACUGGUAGGCUCGAGGGAGGUAGGGGUUCGCGGAACUUCUGGUGGAGCGGUGAAAUGCGUUGAUAUCAGAAGGAACGCCGGCGGCGAAAGCGGCGAACUGGAUCUCUUCUGACGCUGAGGCGCGAAAGCUAGGGGAGCAAACGGG